UAGGGAAUCUUCCGCAAUGGACGAAAGUCUGACGGAGCAACGCCGCGUGAGUGAAGAAGGAUUUCGGUUCGUAAAACUCUGUUGUUAGGGAAGAAAAAAUGUAUAGUAACUAUAUACAAAAGAGACGGUACCUAACCAGAAAGCCACGGCUAACUACGUGCCAGCAGCCGCGGUAAUACGUAGGUGGCAAGCGUUGUCCGGAAUUAUUGGGCGUAAAGCGCGCGCAGGUGGUUUAGAAAGUCUGAUGUGAAAGCCCACGGCUCAACCGUGGAGGGUCGUUGGAAACUAAUAAACUUGAGUGCAGGAGAGAAAAGUGGAAUUCCUAGUGUAGCGGUGAAAUGCGUAGAGAUUAGGAGGAACACCGGUGGCGAAAGCGGCUUUUUGGCCUGCAACUGACACUGAGGCGCGAAAGCGUGGGGAGCAAACAGG
rnacentral:rRNA from 1 species